rnacentral:miRNA from 1 species
GCUGAGUGGGGAGGAGAGAGGGACAGAGAGCCUGCUUGCUUUAAAGGAACCAACCGGACAGGAGCCGCUUACACUUGUGUAAGUGGCUCCUCUCAUCUCCCACUUUGCUCCUUUAAAGAAGCAGGCUCUCUGUCCCUCUCUCCUCCCCACUCAGC